AAAGCUACGGCACUAAAGGAGAGCUUUGCGUCCUAUUAGCUAGUUGGUAAGGUAAGAGCUUACCAAGGCGAUGAUAGGUAGCCGGCCUGAGAGGGUGGACGGGCCACAAGGGGACUGAGAUACGGCCCUUACUCCUACGGGAGGCAGCAGUGGGGAAUAUUGGACAAUGGAGGAAACUCUGAUCCAGCAAUUCUGUGUGUGUGAAGAAGGUUUUAGGACUGUAAAACACUUUUAGUAGGGAAGAAAAAAAUGACGGUACCUACAGAAGAAGCAACGGCUAAAUACGUGCCAGCAGCCGCGGUAAU
rnacentral:rRNA from 1 species